rnacentral:rRNA from 1 species
AUCAACAGCCAUAUCAUCCUGAUCUGAAACUACCCAGGCUUGGGCCUGGCUUGUACUUGGAUGGGAGACCAAUUAGAAAAGCCAGGAAGAGGUAUAGU